rnacentral:lncRNA from 13 species
AUGUGCCACAGGGAAAUUCAUACGCCUUCUCUCUCACAAAUCUGUGAUGACAUGCUCAGGAUCACUCACAACUCACUGCUGUCUCCAAGUUGCUGGAGUUCAGGUUGCCUUUGGUGAAAGAAAAAGCUUAAAAAUACAUUCAUCCUGACUGAAAAAAAUAUAUAUCUACAAGAUAGAAUUGAGGUGUUUCAGACAUCAAACAAGAUUGUGUCUGGCAGUUUUGAUGUGGUACAUGGUCUGGGGAUGGAUGGAUAGACACAUAGUUAGUUUGUGCUCUGAAUAUAUGUAGGCCUCUAAGACGGAAUUGUGUGAGGGUGUGUUAAAGGGUAUUAAAUGAAGAACAUAGUUCAAAAUGAGCCGAGGUGUCCAAGAAGCCUUGUCAAGAGAGCUCAAUAAGGAGAGGGAACACCUUGACUUUAACAGUUUAAAUCUUAAUAACGGCAACACUGGAAUUGUGGUUUCAUUAUGGUUUGAAACGAUACAGAAACUAGAAAGGGAAGAGAAAGGGGAGGAGGGAGAGAACAAAUGGAAAAAGAAAACAGUGGUUUCCCGGACUAGAGGAGGGAUGUGUAAGUCUACCUCAUACUUAACACCCCACCGGCACUCAGUAUCUACUGCCCUUGGUGGCCAAACCAAGAGAAGUAUGUCGUCAGAAAGUAAUACAAAUCUAUAAAGCANNNNNNNNNNCCCCCCCAACCUGGCCAAAGGGCCACAGCGAUAGGUUUUAUAUGUUGCAAGAGCUUGGAUCAUUUUCCACAUCCUGGCAGCUAGGCCCUGGCUUCCUACGCCAAGACAGAGCAGCGCGAGGAGAGUGGGGCCGCUGCUGCAAGGCCAUCUGGGAGGGCCAGGAGCAACGUGGUUCAUCCCACAGAGUUGUCUGGAUGCCAGCUCCAUUGCAUCAGUGGAACGCAGGAUCACGCCCUCUGCAUGGGACAAUAACUGAACACCUCUGACCCCGUUCCUUGAACCACAACCACCAACCUAGUCACCACCUACUCAGCCUGGCAGGUCUGCAUCGUGCUAAAAAACAAAGUGCUAAAAAACUUCACAGGUCCCCAGGGAUGAGUUCUUGCAUGGCGGACUUGGUGUAGGUUGCCCUGGCUAAUUUAAUAGUCAGGCCUCCACACUCCCCCGUGGUGUGUGACCUCCCUCCCUCCCUCCACACACACGCACACAUGCACGCACACAUGCACACACACACACACACACACAGACACACACACACACACACACACACACACACACACACACACACACACACACACACACACACACACACACACACACACACACUCCUUCUCCCUGCUUAGGAAACAAGGCAACUGGCAACAUGUGGCUAAACAACAUAAAAAGCUGACGUGUUUCCAACAGCGGUUUUAAACUAAACCUUGAAUCAUUCAAAUACUAGGCCUAUACAGCGUGUAUUUGACUGAAGAUCAGAGGAACCUUGGCUCAACUCUUAUCCAAGAGAGCCUGUUACUGUUCCUGUGUAACCACAACUAAGGGCAGGUGAGCAGUUGGAUGCUCUCGUAGAAGACUGUCAUAUGUAACUUCUCAGUCCUCCGAGGAUCCAGACUAACACAUUGUGGGGGUGAGGUCAGUACUACUGGGUUGGAGGCUUGGCUUGCUGUUCAUUCCUGGCAUGCAAUCUGUAUUAAAAGCUCAUCAAAAGGGGAGCAUCGCGCUCUCCCAGAAGUUUGGUUGGAGCGAAAAACGUGUCAAUUCAGAUAGAAAAAGGCGUGAUGGAUCCGCACUCCAAAAAAGAUGUCGCAUGAAGCUUACUUUAUUUAUUUGUUAUUAUUUUUGAUUAAUUUCACUGCGUCAGGGAUAGCGUACACAGAUGUUUCGGCUUUGCUUCCUCCUUCAGUGUGUAGGUGCUAAGAAGGAAGCUUUGUGCAGCAUAUUUUUGAGGGCGGACCCAUCAAACUCUUUUUUUUGUUCAUGCAAUCUGUAGACAGUGUUCAGCGGGCUGUUCUUUUCUCUCACAAGAUCUGCUUCCCAAAUGGCACCCUAUGCCCUAUAUGGCAGACCGCAGAAGCAGUGUAGCAAAUAGGGAAUAGAGUGCCAUUUGGGAUGUGGCCAGGGUCUGGCCCGAGCAUAAGCCACAUUUGCCGAGUGAGAUUCCUGGGAUAUGCUGGGCCCGCCCACACAUACCCUCCUCAUCAUGAGUGGAUGUGCUCGGGUCACAGAUAUGAAAACACCACCUCAAUUCCGUGGGUCUCUGGGGCCAAGGACAUUACAAUGUAGGUGGAUGUUGUGCUGCUGGAGCCUGAAUAUCUCCACAAUGCAUUGUUGCUCCCCUGUGAACUGCGUACAGUGCAUUCUUGGCUCACUGUGAACUGUACAUUAUCUGCAUAAAUGCUUUAGAGAUUUAACGUCAUUAGAUAUUUACCGAACAGGGGAAAGAAAUGUUUUGGUACACUUUCUGGGUUUGAGCUAAUUCCUUUCAUCUUUCUUCAUCUCUAAGUGUUACCUGCAGCUAGUAAACAACAUACAUCUCUUACAAGAAGACAUCAACAGGGAUUAUCGAGCACGGUUGAUAAAUAAAUGCAUCAAUAACUAGGUCUGUGGACUUUUUUGGGGGGUUGAAAAGGAGCAACAGAAGAAGAAAACAAGCUAAACAUUUGUAUUAAGCACAGAGGCUAAAAUAUAUUUCCUCCAAGUGUAUCACAUCCCAUACAAAUAUGCAUUCAUUAAGUCUUCCUCUGUCUUUUAUCAGCUGCAGUGGGGAGAGAAAGAAAAGAGAUUCAAGCAUGAUGUCUAAUUACAGUCCCAAAAGGAGAGCUCCUCGCUCCCCCACUCUCGCCCCGCCCCGCCCUCCAACCUUCCCCUUUCAGAGAGACGGAACAUUUUGAGGACAAGGGCAGGCAUUUUUUGAAAUAAACAUGACCCUUGUGAAUUCUCCCAAGGAAAGGAGUGACUAUUUGCUAUUGGCUCGGUAGGGCCUCGGAGCGAAAGAGAGGGAGGGAGAAAGGCUCUUGGGCUCUUGACGGUGACACCUCCCCUAACAAAAAGACAAGGGGCUUUAUCAGACAGAGGUUGCCCGUGAUAUCACUCAGGCUACGGAAGUGCCACUCACUGGCACUUAAAGCUGUGCCACUCCAUAGCCUCCAUAGCCCCUAAGAAUAGCAUAAAGUUCCGUUGAUAAAUGAGGAAUUAUAACGCACCACAACUCUAGGCCUCCUUCCUUCUUGUAGGUUAGGAUGGCAGAGGAGAGGGAGGGAAACUGGGUGAACAGAAGUUGUAAAAAGAAGCAAGAAGAGACUAUUUGGAACUCUUCAAUCUGAUAAAGGAUUAUGACACAGAUAAUAAAUAUAUUCAACCUUAUAAAUAUUUUAGCUUGGCUACUCCCUCGGCUUAAUGUGCUGUACAGCGUCUAAUUAAGCAUGUAUCUGAUAGAUGCCACUACAUAAUGAUGUGCUGAUGUCUAGGGGGUUGGCCAGGAAG